AAGUCCUGGGCAGAGGAAAAUAAAACGAGUACUUUACAUGUCUGUUUAAACAAUGCUACUGAAGUGAUUGUUGCUGCUCAUCUUUAUGAGGGCAGAGGCUUUUCGGUUUCAGUUGCAGAUAUUACCUUAUGUUAAAAUUAAAACCUACACCCCACGGGCCAAAUCUAGGUACAGCCAUCUGUUUCCAUAUUGUCCACUACUAUUUUUCCACUAAGUGACAGAGGUGAGUGGCUGAGUCAGAGACUCUAUGGCCUGCAAAGCCAAAAUUACUUACUACUUGGCCUCUAGAGAAAAAGUUUGCCAACCCCUGCCUAGGAUAAAAAAGGUGGGUAACAUUCCCUUUUCACAGAUGAGAAAAUCGGAGCAAAGAGGUAAAGUAAUUAAUCUGAGGCCAGACGGGAAGUGGCAGAUCCAGAAGUGGAAUUCAAGUUUUCUGCCCUCCUGAAUUUAGUAGACUAACUGCAAAACCGUGCCCUAGUUUACUGAUACAAUCCUGAUAAACAUGAAUGCAUAAAAUGAGGAAAAUUCACAUGAAUUGUUCAAAUAGGUCCUAAGAGAGCAAGCUCAGCGAUCUUUCCUCAAGUAUAGGAAGGAUAUUAUUCAAACUAGGCACAGUGGCAUUAAGCACACCAUCAGCUGGAAAGUUUUCCAUCUAAGAUUUUUGCCGUUACUUUGUCCUUUAAUUAUUGCUGUGAUGACAUAAGUUAAAUGUUAUCCUAACAAUCACGACCUUCUAUACUAAAGAUUUACUGAAAUUUAGGAACCCAAGGGGUCAAAUAUCAUUUGACCUAAGUGGGGCCGUGGCCAAGACUAUCAAAAUAGGGUGUUCUGGAUGGACUGCCUUGUCUCUGAUGCUGUUUUAACAAGACAAACUCUAGACAGAGCCAACGUGUGAACCAGGUAGGUAUGAGCAUAACUUUUUUAAUAACAGGAAGUUCUUAUUUCCUAGUAGGAAUGUAUCUUAGCCCUAGCAACAGAUGACUGCUAGCAACCCAAUUCUGCAAGCAGCGCAGAUCUAUUCCCUCCCUUAACGGUUUCGACUUAAACGUAUCAAGCAUUGGGCCAAAAAAGUGGGAGACCAGUUGUUCAAGAGCGGGAGAGCGUGGACGAGGAUGGAGCGUGGCUGGGAAUUUUCGAAAAUCUGCCGGCAAGGUCCGGAUGUUCAUAUUAGGACCUUGGUCAUCCUAAGCAACGGGAAGAGACUGUCCCAAAUAAGUAGCCUUCCUAGCGGAGUGUUCUGAUGCUAAGUUAACCGACAGAACUAAAUCUGGUAAAGUGUAUUGGUUGUGAAUAAGUAAAACAAGAUCCCCCCAUCCGCGGUCCCCCUCCCCGGCACCCCCCUCCCCCCGACGCAGAAGCAAAGAUUUAUCAACCGAGAGUUUAUUUCCUUCUACAGGACCCUAGUGACUCAGCUUUAAAAAAAAAAAAAAAACUGUUUUGGGAUAUUCCCAGUCUUAACUCUUGAAAUAUGAAACCAGGAUAAAAGUUAUUGUUGUGUUUUCUUGUCAAAAAGAGAGAUUGUUCAUUUGUAGACAGUUAUUUAAAUGCAUCUUCUUGACUCCUCAGGGUGUCUCUGUUCUCAGAGCUUACUAUUACUCAUUUCAACACUGAUUUUAUUUUAACUGUAAAUAUCUCAAUAAUUAUCUUAGGUUUUUUUUUUUAUGAACAAAUGAAUCAUCACAUCGAUGUAAUUAAGAGCCCAAGCUCUGGAGUCAGACUUGAUUCAAAUCCUGGCUCUAGGACCUGCAUCAAGUUACUAGACUUUUCUGUGCCUUGGAAUCCUCAUCUAUGAAAUGGAGAUAUCAGGACUUCCCUCUUAAUAUGGUGGGGAGGAUCAGAUGAGAGGAUGAGGAUAAAGCAUGCACUCUGACCCAGACAUACACUGAUAAUAUCGGCUGUCGUUUUUAUUUCAUUUACUAAUAUUAUUACCAUUACUGAAUGUUCCAUCUCUGAACUUGGUGCCAAUCCAAAUAACGAGAACAGAGUUUUGGGUGAAAAGGAAAGAAAGCUUUAUUCUCAUCGCCAGGCAAAGGGAAUGAACUGCUGGCUUGCCAUCAAGAAGUGGGUAAGGGGUUUUAAAGGUUGUGAUGAUGAGGCUGCUUUUAGGGAGGGGGAGCCUGUGGCCUUGCUGGUUGGUGCUUUUCCACCAGCAUGUUUGGCCUUGUGAGGCUGCUUGCAGAGAGGAGGAUGGAGAGAUAAGGGAAUCCAUAGGUGGAUGCCCUUGGUCUCCUGGUGGUUGAUGGUAGAUUCUGGUGCCAGGAAGCCAGGGAGUAAGGAGGGGAAGCGGAUGAGUGCUUUUGGUUUUAACCCCAUAUGUGCUGGGUUUAAUGUAGGGGAACUGAUAUCAGGGCCAGUAUCAAUUAAAAGCCUAUAACAUUACCACAAGAGAGGGGCCUACACACCUAUAAAAAAACAAAAGAGAAGGGGAGCUAAUAUGUACUCAUUGCCACAUAAAACAUGAUAGGCAAUUGUGCUGGGAUGUAUUCUCUUUGAAAAGAUUAUAUUUCAUUGAAUUUAUCUUGUGAUUCUCUCAAAAAUAUGUUUAUUCCAAACAAUUCAUUUAGUAAGAAAAUUUUAAGUAUGAAAGAGGUAUGUAAGGGAGGCCUAGGUCAUCUUGGUUAUCUAGCCAGUGUGAGGAGCAUAUGGGGUAAGCCUCUCUCAGGGGCUGCCUUGUACCUGCUGUAGUUCAGAAUGUACAAAAAGUACACUCUUAAGAGGAAAAGCUCUUGAGUUCAGUUUCCUCCCAUUUCUUAAGCAGCUUCCUCACUUUCUCUGGUCCUUGAAUUCCUCCUCUGUAAAAAUGAAAGAUGGGGAUUUAUGAAGGGCCUUUUCUUGCUCUAAAAGUAUCAAGAAUAUUAUUAAAUAAUUAUGGGAAGGUUGCUCUGUGCAGGGUCUAGAACUGGGUAUCAGUGGGAGAUUCAACUUUGAUUGACAGUUUGCACCAGUUGUUCUCAAAGUAUACCCCUCCACCCAACCAGCAGCAGCUUGUUAGAAUUGCAGAUUAUCUGCCCCAUGCCAGACCUACUGAGUUGGAAACUCUGGAGGUGGGCCCCAGCAAUCGGUGGUUUAAGAAGCCCUCCAGCUGAUUCUGAUGGACGCUAGUUUGAGAGCCUCUGGUUUACACAGAACUUCAUACACAGUCUACAGCAAACCAGAAGGUGUGUUAUCCCCAUGAUCAUUAUGGUUCUCUGUGCCAGGCACUGUGGUAAGCACUAUAUUAUCUCAUUUAAUCCUUUCAACACUUGUGAGGUAGGGGGGACCUUGUGCACUCAGUUUCAGCCACACUGGCAUCCCUUUCCUUCUUCAGAGUCCAGCUUCUUCCCACCUCAGGUCCUUCUGUUCUGGGUAAUGUCUACUCAUUCUUCAGUGCUCAGCUUAAGUAUCCCCCCUCUCGGGAGGUCUUCUCUGAUACUCCCAGGCUAGGUUAGCUCCCACUAGUAAAAUUUAUCACAAUGAAAUUGGUUAUUUGUGUAGUUACCUAUUUAAUAUUUGUGUCCACUAUUUAAUUGAAAGCUACAUGAGUCAGGGACCCUGUCCGUCUUACUCCUUAGUGUAUUCUCAGUACCUAGCACAGUGUUGGUACAUAGAAAAUGCUCAAUAAAUAUUUGUGGAAGGAAUGAAUGUUGAACAAAUGAAUCCCCUUUCUACAUAAGAGGAAGCUGAGGCUCAAGGAAGUUAACAAUCUCGUGAUUACACACCUGGAAAGUAUUAGAGCCAGGACUCCAAACUCUAGACUUUUAGCCACUAUACUCACCUUUCCCAUUUUUGAUGAAGAAAAUAAAGUUCUGAGAGAUAAAAUGACUUCCCUAAAGUCAUAUAGCUAGUAAAUAAUAGAAUAAGGAUUAGAAUUCAUGUCUUCUAACAUUUCUGUUCUUCUGUACCACAUUAUGCUGCUUUAUUCUGCCCUCCAGGACUUUACAACUAGUGGGAUGGGACAAGGCAUACAUACAGGACAAUUAAAUUCAUAGUAAAAGAAAUUAAGUUGGGACAUAUCUACGGGGCCUGGUAUCAUGAACAUAGUAGAUGUUCAAUAAACAUUUACUGAAUGAAUAAUAACCAUAGCUAGAAUAUUUACAUGUCUCCUUCCACUAAGUGUUUAUGAGCGUAUCUAGUGUUUCUCAAAGGAGGACCCUCGAAGUCUGGAAAGCUUGUUAAAAUGCAGAUGCCUGGGAUUUUCACCUAAUGGAUUGGAAUCUGUGGGUGUGGUUCUUGAGAAUCUGCAUUUUCACCUAUCUCCUCAGGUGACUCUCAUGCGCACUAAAGUUUGAGAAACACUCCAUUGUUACAGAAACCAUCCGAGUAGCCCCUUGUGCACAAGAGGAAGUGCUUC